UACGUAGGGGUGCGAGCGUUUGUCCGGAAUUAUUGGGCGUAAAGAGCUUGUAGGCGGUUUGUCGCGUCUGCCGUGAAAAUUCGAGGCUCAACCUCGAACUUGCGGUGGGUACGGGCAGACUAGAGUGUGGUAGGGGAGACUGGAAUUCCUGGUGUAGCGGUGAAAUGCGCAGAUAUCAGGAGGAACACCGAUGGCGAAGGCAGGUCUCUGGGCCACUACUGACGCUGAGAAGCGAAAGCAUGGGGAGCGAACAGG
rnacentral:rRNA from 1 species